rnacentral:rRNA from 1 species
CACGUAGGGUGCGAGCGUUGUCCGGAAUCAUUGGGCGUAAAGCGCGUGUAGGCGGCUGAGUAAGUCUGCUCUGAAAGCCCGGGGCUCAACCCCGGGAGGCGGGUGGAUACUGCUCAGCUCGAGUCCGGAAGAGGAGUGUGGAAUUCCUGGUGUAGCGGUGAAAUGCGCAGAUAUCAGGAGGAACACCGAUGGCGAAGGCAGAUCUCUGGGCCGUAACUGACGCUGAGGAGCGAAAGCAUGGGGAGCGAACAGG